UAGGGAAUCUUCGGCAAUGGGGGGAACCCUGACCGAGCAACGCCGCGUGAGUGAAGAAGGUUUUCGGAUCGUAAAGCUCUGUUGUUAAGGAAGAACGAGUGUGAGAAUGGAAAGUUCAUGCUGUGACGGUACUUAACCAGAAAGGGACGGCUAAUUCGGUGCCAGCAGCCGCGGUAAUACGGAAGGUCCGGGCGUUAUCCGGAUUUAUUGGGUUUAAAGGGAGCGUAGGCUGUCUAUUAAGCGUGUUGUGAAAUAUACCGGCUCAACCGGUGGCUUGCAGCGCGAACUGGUCGACUUGAGUAUGCAGGAAGUAGGCGGAAUUCAUGGUGUAGCGGUGAAAUGCUUAGAUAUCAUGACGAACUCCGAUUGCGCAGGCAGCUUACUGUAGCAUAACUGACGCUGAUGCUCGAAAGUGCGGGUAUCAAACAGG
rnacentral:rRNA from 1 species